CCUAGUUAAUUCUACUAGUAGUUAUAUACUUAUCUUAAAGAUUAAGCUAUACAUAUCUAAGUAUAAGCAAUUAUAUAGUAAAACUAUAAAUAGCUUAUUAUAUAAGUUAUCGUUUAUUUAAUAGUACCUUACUACUUAGAUAACCAUAGUAAUUCUAGAGCUAAUACAUACUAAAAAUCCUAACUUACGAAAGGAUAUAUUUAUUAGAUUAAAAACUAAUACCCUUCAGGGCUCCUUAGUGAUUUAUAAUAACUCCUCGAAUCGUAUGGCCUUGUGCUAGUGAUAGUUCAUUUAAAUUUCUUCCCUAUUAACUUUCGAUGUUUAGGUAUUAGCUAAAUAUGGUUGUAAUAGGUAAUAGAGGGUUAGGGCUCAACCCUGGAGAAGGAGCCUAAGAAAUGGCUAUUAUAUCUAAGGAAGGUAGUAAGCAUACAAAUUACCUAAUCCCAAUACAGGGAGGUAGUAAUAAUAAAUAUUAAUAUAGGGCUCUUUUAGGUCUUAUAAUUAGAAUAAGUAUAAUUUAAAUCCCUUAAUAAGGAAUAAUUAGAGGGUAAGUCUAGUGCUAGUAGCCACGGUAAUUCUAGCUCUAAUAGCAUAUAUUAAAGUUAUUAUAGUUAAAAAGCUCAUAGUUAAACCUUAGGCCUAGCUAGCCAGUCUACCUUACCGUAUAUACUAGUCUAGCUAAGCCUUUCCCUCUAUAGAACCCUAUACCCUUUACUAAGUAUAGCAGGGAAAUAGGACUUUUACUUUAAAAAAAUUAGAGUGCUCUAGGUAAGCCUAUACUUAAAUAUAUUAAUAUAGAAUAAUAGAAUAGGAUGUAUGGUUCUAUUUUAUUAGUUUCUAGGACUACUAUAAUAAUUAAUAGGGAUAGUUAGGGGCAUUAGUAUUUAAUUAUUAAAGGUAAAAUUCUUAGAUUUAUUAAAGACUAACUACUAUAAAAGUAUUUACUAAGGAUAUUUUUAUUAAUUAGGAAUAAAAGUUAGGGGAUCAAAGACAAUUAGAUACUAUCGUAGUCUUAAUCAUAAACUAUACUAACUAGGGAUUGGAUAAUGUUAUUUUUUAACUUAUUCAGUACCUUAUGAGAAAUUAAAGUGCUUAGGCUCUAGGGGGAGUAUAGUCAUAAGGCUAAAACUUAAAGAAAUUAACGGAAGGGCACCACUAGAGGUAAAUGUAACUCGUUUUUAAAGCUAUAGUUAACUCUACUCCUAAAAGCCGCCCGAAAGAGUUUAUAGUAUCCCUUAGCCUUAUGCUGAACUAAUAGCUAGUCCCCCCUUUCGUAGGGCAGGUAAUACCCUUAACUUAUAGAGAACCCUUAAAGCUAUUGCUCUAAAGCUAGCGCUCGAAAAACGCUAGUAGCUAGGUUAAUAGCCUUAGGUACUAGAAAAACGCAAUAGAUAUUAUAAUAGGCGAUCCGUAGCUAAGCCCCUAAGUGCUUCCCCCUUAGGGGGCAUAUAGAGAAGGUUUAGAGACUUGAUAGGGGUAGGUAGGCUCCUACCUACUUAAGAUAAAGUCUAUCCUUUCAUGAAAGCAUUAGUAGUCUUACAUAGCAAUGCGUAGGGCUUCCUAAUAAGAGCCUAUAGCUUAAUUUAACUUAAUACGGAGAAACUUACUAGGUCUAGAUAUAAUAAGGAUUAAUAGAUUAAGAGCUCUUUCUUAAUUUUAUGGGUAGUGGUAUAUAGCCAUUCUUAGUUAGUAGAGUGAUUUGUCUGCUUAAUUAUAAUAAUGAAUAAGACCUUAACCUACUAAAUAGCCUAUAUUGCUUUAGU
rnacentral:rRNA from 1 species